UGUGUGUGUGUGUGUGUAGAGGGCCAGUCCUAAGAGUGACCAGGAGGAGAAUGAGCUGGUGAUGGGGUCUUUGAGGAGUCUGUAUGAACAGAAACAGAGGAGUCAUCAACACACAGAUCACAGACCGGUACCAGAGGCUCCAGCCCCAGUAGAGGUCCAGUCCAGUAGCAGACAGAGAUUAGAGCAGUUUAAAACCAGAGCAAAGCGCUCCCUCACAGAGUCACUGGAGGGCAUCUGGAAGGGAAGUAGCAAAGCCAGGGCUCAGAGAGAGAACAGUGAAGGAGACAUCAGUUCAUCUGACUCUACACUGA